UCUCUCUCCAGCUGCAUUUAGUGGACGUUGGGAUCCUGAAGAUGGCUCAGGCUCCCAAUACAUCCCACUGCACCCAGUGUGUCUCUGAGCCUGUCUUCCUCCCCACUCCCCUGUGGUGGAGAAGGUGGUGGGUCCUGUUGGUGAGAUGUGGCUGCAUCCCUGGAUGUCUGAGGACUGGUGGUGACACCUGUGCCCUGUCCCCCUCCAGCACUAUGAGGAGAUGAUCAUCUUUGGA